CGGGACACGUGGUAUCCUGUCUGAAUAUGGGGGGACCAUCCUCCAAGGCUAAAUACUCCUGACUGACCGAUAGUGAACCAGUACCGUGAGGGAAAGGCGAAAAGAACCCCGGCGAGGGGAGUGAAAAAGAACCUGAAACCGUGUACGUACAAGCAGUGGGAGCACGCUUAGGCGUGUGACUGCGUACCUUUUGUAUAAUGGGUCAGCGACUUAUAUUCUGUAGCAAGGUUAACCGAAUAGGGGAGCCGAAGGGAAACCGAGUCUUAACUGGGCGUUAAGUUGCAGGGUAUAGACCCGAAACCCGGUGAUCUAGCCAUGGGCAGGUUGAAGGUUGGGUAACACUAACUGGAGGACCGAACCGACUAAUGUUGAAAAAUUAGCGGAUGACUUGUGGCUGGGGGUGAAAGGCCAAUCAAACCGGGAGAUAGCUGGUUCUCCCCGAAAGCUAUUUAGGUAGCGCCUCGUGAAUUCAUCUCCGGGGGUAGAGCACUGUUUCGGCAAGGGGGUCAUCCCGACUUACCAACCCGAUGCAAACUGCGAAUACCGGAGAAUGUUAUCACGGGAGACACACGGCGGGUGCUAACGUCCGUCGUGAAGAGGGAAACAACCCAGACCGCCAGCUAAGGUCCCAAAGUCAUGGUUAAGUGGGAAACGAUGUGGGAAGGCCCAGACAGCCAGGAUGUUGGCUUAGAAGCAGCCAUCAUUUAAAGAAAGCGUAAUAGCUCACUGGUCGAGUCGGCCUGCGCGGAAGAUGUAACGGGGCUAAACCAUGCACCGAAGCUGCGGCAGCGACGCUGAUGCGUUGUUGGGUAGGGGAGCGUUCUGUAAGCCUGUGAAGGUGUGCUGUGAGGCAUGCUGGAGGUAUCAGAAGUGCGAAUGCUGACAUAAGUAACGAUAAAGCGGGUGAAAAGCCCGCUCGCCGGAAGACCAAGGGUUCCUGUCCAACGUUAAUCGGGGCAGGGUGAGUCGACCCCUAAGGCGAGGCCGAAAGGCGUAGUCGAUGGGAAACAGGUUAAUAUUCCUGUACUUGGUGUUACUGCGAAGGGGGGACGGAGAAGGCUAUGUUGGCCGGGCGACGGUUGUCCCGGUUUAAGCGUGUAGGCUGGUUUUCCAGGCAAAUCCGGAAAAUCAAGGCUGAGGCGUGAUGACGAGGCACUACGGUGCUGAAGCAACAAAUGCCCUGCUUCCAGGAAAAGCCUCUAAGCAUCAGGUAACAUCAAAUCGUACCCCAAACCGACACAGGUGGUCAGGUAGAGAAUACCAAGGCGCUUGAGAGAACUCGGGUGAAGGAACUAGGCAAAAUGGUGCCGUAACUUCGGGAGAAGGCACGCUGAUAUGUAGGUGAAGCGACUUGCUCGUGGAGCUGAAAUCAGUCGAAGAUACCAGCUGGCUGCAACUGUUUAUUAAAAACACAGCACUGUGCAAACACGAAAGUGGACGUAUACGGUGUGACGCCUGCCCGGUGCCGGAAGGUUAAUUGAUGGGGUCAGCGCAAGCGAAGCUCUUGAUCGAAGCCCCGGUAAACGGCGGCCGUAACUAUAACGGUCCUAAGGUAGCGAAAUUCCUUGUCGGGUAAGUUCCGACCUGCACGAAUGGCGUAAUGAUGGCCAGGCUGUCUCCACCCGAGACUCAGUGAAAUUGAACUCGCUGUGAAGAUGCAGUGUACCCGCGGCAAGACGGAAAGACCCCGUGAACCUUUACUAUAGCUUGACACUGAACAUUGAGCCUUGAUGUGUAGGAUAGGUGGGAGGCUUUGAAGUGUGGACGCCAGUCUGCAUGGAGCCGGCCUUGAAAUACCACCCUUUAAUGUUUGAUGUUCUAACGUUGACCCGUGAUCCGGGUUGCGGACAGUGUCUGGUGGGUAGUUUGACUGGGGCGGUCUCCUCCUAAAGAGUAACGGAGGAGCACGAAGGUUGGCUAAUCCUGGUCGGACAUCAGGAGGUUAGUGCAAUGGCAUAAGCCAGCUUGACUGCGAGCGUGACGGCGCGAGCAGGUGCGAAAGCAGGUCAUAGUGAUCCGGUGGUUCUGAAUGGAAGGGCCAUCGCUCAACGGAUAAAAGGUACUCCGGGGAUAACAGGCUGAUACCGCCCAAGAGUUCAUAUCGACGGCGGUGUUUGGCACCUCGAUGUCGGCUCAUCACAUCCUGGGGCUGAAGUAGGUCCCAAGGGUAUGGCUGUUCGCCAUUUAAAGUGGUACGCGAGCUGGGUUUAGAACGUCGUGAGACAGUUCGGUCCCUAUCUGCCGUGGGCGCUGGAGAACUGAGGGGGGCUGCUCCUAGUACGAGAGGACCGGAGUGGACGCAUCACUGGUGUUCGGGUUGUCAUGCCAAUGGCACUGCCCGGUAGCUAAAUGC
rnacentral:rRNA from 1 species